GUUGGAAUUGAACAUACAAGCUUUUGAACCAGCUUUUGAACCAGAUGCAGAUGCUCACUCCCAUCCGACAACUCCAUCCACAAUGCCCUAGCAAAACUGAAACCUACUUGAAGGUAACAGCGCUCAUGCCCUCAACCAUGGAUGGACAUCGAACACUGAAUUGUAUCAUGGGUGACCUGCCUGGUUUCUUGACUGUGUCCAACUCACAGGGAGCAAAAUGGGUAUUACUGCAAUGUUGGAGCUAGAAACACAAGCACUCCGCUGUACCUGUGAUAAUAUCUGCAAAUAUGUAUACGUGACCAAUAAACUUUGAUUUGGUGUGGGGUGCGAGGACAGGAGGGUGAGAUCCAGAGCGGGCCAGUCAUACUGCAGCCUGGACCACGUACAACCACAGCAGUGAGCGCAGCAUGAAGAGAGAGAGCACGGAGCAGACGCUGGAGCAGAGCCAGGACACCAGGAGAAAGAAGCACAAGGGCAUUCAUAUCACUGCAGCAGCAGCCUCCCUCGCGGCCUGACUAGUUCACCUCAGAUAGACAGAGGGGCACACAUACACCACUAUAGACCAAUAUGCUCCCAGUACGGACAGGUUGUAUUAAAAAUUAGUUUUUUUAUCCAGCAGAUGUUGGAAAGAUCAAAGGUUACAGUCCAUUCCAAUGUGACAUUUGACUGAAAGGCCAAAUCCAAAACAUUAGCAUUUCUGACAAACAGUGAACAAAUUAUGACACCAACCAGUAUCCUAACCUUUUGUUGCAGGGAUCCAUUUUCUAUGAGCUCAUGUGAGUUUAUUUUGGCUCUGCUGCACUGCAUGACUCAGGCCCUUCAGACUGUCUGCUUCCUCCAGUCAGUGAGAAGCAAGGUUGAGUCAGUGCUACUGAUAAAAUGUAGGAUCUUAAUUUGACCCGUAUUGCCUCAGCAAAAUAAUCCUGGAUUUGAACAUUUAGUCCAUACUGUUGCUUGAUCGAUGUUUAGGUCUAUUAGCUGGUCGAAGUGAGGCUCCUUGAAAAGUGGAAUACUGUUAAUAUAUGGCAAGCCUGUGCGUUAGUGUGAGUUUUCAGUGAAUUUAUGUAUAUCACGAAACUCCUCUGCAUUUCCUGCUGUGCAGAAAGAAUUCUCAGCAACAAAAGAGUGAUCAAAUUAAGAUCCUACAUUUGUACAGGGGAUUCCCUGUGUGCCAUGAGGGAACUUAAAUGUGUGUUGCUGGGGCCUGGGCCAGAAACAACUGGCUAUCCCUUACCUCUUAGCCCCUAACCCUUGACCCCUUGGGAUUAUUUGGAUGUGAAUAGUUAUUCUCUGUGUGGUUGUUUCUGCAGUACUGCAGGUUUCUGGUGCCAUCACACCUGCUUCACUAAAUAACCAAUUGAUCUUUCACACCUUGAGUAACUGAAACAGGUGUUUCACACCAGAUUAAAUUAUGACUGUUAAAUUAUAACGGUUUUAGUAACAUGAUUAUAUACUGUACAGCCAGUGUGUUUAAUAACACUAUUGUUGUUACAUCCAAACCUGAAAUGCCUCUGCCGUUGUACAGUGUUGUGCUUAGUCUUAUAUUGUUGCUAUGGUGACUGCCCCUAGGGUUUCAUCAAGCAGAAGUAGGAGGCUCUGUGAUCACUCCUGGAGAGUCUCUCUCUCUCCUCUGGGAUGUUAGAGGUAAAGCCAAAGCACAGUGACACAGGACUUUGUCCUUCAAGAGGUCGAUGCUUUCUACAGUGUCCUCUAAAGUACUAAAACAUUUAGUGCAAUGAAAAAGGCCUUGUAAUACCCUAAGGCUUUGCCAGACUUUAUUGAUAGGUAGAAAUUACAACACAUUCAGAAAGGUCAAGAUGACAACACAGUUCUGCAACUGUGUAAUUUAUACUUGUUAAUGAAAGUUAUACAAGUAUUUUCUCCCCUCUAAAUAAUCAAUUAAUGUAUUAAUAAAUUUUCUGUGAAUA